GACGAACGCUGGCGGGGUGCUUAACACAUGCAAGUCGAACGGUAAGGCCCUUCGGGGUACACGAGUGGCGAACGGGUGAGUAACACGUGGGUGAUCUGCCCUGCACUUCGGGAUAAGCCUGGGACACUGGGUCUAAUACCGGAUAGGACUCCUGGCUUCAUGGUUGGGGGUGGAAAGCGUUGGCGGUGGGGGAUGGGCCCGCGGCCUAUCCGCUUGUUGGUGGGGGAAUGGCCUACCAAGGCGACGACGGGUAGCCGGCCUGAGAGGGUGACCGGUCACACUGGGACUGAGAUACGGCCCAGACUCCUACGGGAGGCAGCAGUGGGGAAUAUUGCACAAUGGGCGCAAGCCUGAUGCAGCGACGCCGCGUGAGGGAUGACGGCCUUCGGGUUGUAAACCUCUUUCAGCUAUGACGAAGCGCAAGUGACGGUAGUAGCAGAAGAAGGACCGGCCAACUACGUGCCAGCCGCCGCAGUAA
rnacentral:rRNA from 1 species